GCUGGGCACGGUAGCACGCACCUGUAGUCCCAGCUACUCGGGAGGCUGAGGCUGGAGGAUCGCUUGAGCUCAGGAGUUCUGGGCUGCAGUGCGCUAUGCCGAUCGGGUGUCUGCACUAAGUUCGGCAUCAAUAUGGUGACCUCCCGGGAGCGGGGGACCACCACGUUGCCUAAGGAGGGGUGAACCGGCCCAGGUUGGAAACGGAGCAGGUCAAAACUCCCGUGCUGAUUAGUAGUGGGAUCGCACCUGUGAAUAGCCACUGUACUCCAGCCUGGGCAACAUAGCGAGACCCCGUCUCU
rnacentral:SRP_RNA from 2 species